GUUCUGUCUGCACAUCUAAAUUCUGAAAUUCUAAAAAUUUUCUUCAUCAGUCAGUUUGUUUUUCUCCAAUUUGAAGCUUCAAUCACAGCUAGCGCUAUUACUUUGGCCCUUCAGGUAACAGUAGGUUGCUCUAGUUAGUGCAGGUUGGCACAUGUAAAGCUAUCUUUACAAUUAGUUUCUUUUAAAAUGAGUGAAAAGAAAAUCAUUCCCAUACCUAUUUUCAGUGAUGUCACAUUUGAGCUCUUUAAUGAGAUUCAUUCUAGAAGAAGUCCUGUCCUCCUUAGGGGAUUAAACAUCGGAAGUUGUCUAGGAAAGUGGACAGCUGAAUAUCUUUCCCAAAUAGUUGGCAAGAAACCUGUAAAGAUCCAUGUAUCUGAAAGUGGUCAGAUGAAUUUUAUAACAAAAAAUUUCCAAUAUAAAACACUGCCAUUUGAUCAAGUUAUCAAAAGGUCUUCAUCAAAUCAGCAUGAAGAUUACUUUCUAACAAACACGGAAGUAUACUAUUUGAGAGCUCUUGGAACUGAUUCUAGAGGAAGAGAGGUUGCAAACAUGGAGAAUCACUAUCCAGAGCUUUGCCAAGAUUUUCAAAUUCCUCAGUUCUUGGAACCAAGUUCAAUUUUUUCUAGUGUACUAAGGGUGGCAUCAAAAGGGGUUCAGUUAUGGACACAUUAUGAUGUCAUGGAUAAUCUUCUUGUCCAAGUUACUGGCAAGAAACGAGCUGUCCUCUACUCUCCAGAAGAUGUUUCAUACCUCUAUUUAGAGGGCGACAAAUCACAAGUUGUCGAUAUUGACAAUCCGAACCUGGAACGUUUUCCUGAAUUCGUCAAAGCUACAGCACACGAAUGUGUUAUGGAGCCGGGUGACAUCCUCUUUAUUCCGUCUCUUUGGUUCCAUAACAUGACUUCACUCGAUUUCUCUGUAGCCGUCAACGUUUUUUGGCGAAACUUAGGUCCGGAGGUUUACGAUAAGAAAGAUCCUUACGGCAACAAAGAUCCUCUUCCUGCUUCUAAAGCUUUGGAGAUGGUUGAAUCCGCCUUAAAACACCUGUCGCACCUGCCAGAAGAAUAUCAGCGAUUUUACAAGAAGAGAAUCAUUUCACGUGUUCAAAAAAAUCUUUGAUGUUGAUACUUUCCGAUUUGAAAAAUAAAGAAGUGCAAUCGGUCUUGAUUAGCUGAUGUCCCUUCUGUCGCCUCCGAACUUGUAAAGACCCAAUUCCUGUUUAAAAUCUUUGCUUUUCAAUUUUUCAGGUUGGAAGAUCGUCUGAUAUGGAAGGUGUAGCGGGAAGGUUUCCCGUCCAGACCAAAGCUGAAACAAUCGAGAUUAACGGAAAAGCUACAGAAGUUGUUAUUUCAAAGUUUAGCGACAAGUUAUUCAUUAUCCUUACACAAUACGGCAAGGUUGGUAAUCUGGUUGAAGUCCGUCGAGACGUAGCACAGAAAGAGGAUCCAUCCAGUGCCGUUUACGGUGUUCGAGUUUUACUCGGCCGAGACGACGAAGAAAUCCACGUAGCUGCUCGUUUCUUGGUGAACUAUAUUGCCACCUCUCAAAGUGUCCUAUUUGGUCUGUCUCUAAAAGACUAUCAGCCUCAAACUUUGCGCCAGAUCGGCGAACAUCUUAAGCU